UACGUAGGGUGCGAGCGUUGUCCGGAAUUAUUGGGCGUAAAGAGCUCGUAGGCGGCUUGUCGCGUCGGAUGUGAAAGCCCGGGGCUUAACUCCGGGUCUGCAUUCGAUACGGGCAGGCUAGAGUUCGGUAGGGGAGAUCAGAAUUCCUGGUGUAGCGGUGAAAUGCGCAGAUAUCAGGAGGAAUACCGGGUGGCGAAGGCGGCUAUCUGGCCAUGUACUGACGCUGAGACACGAAAGCGUGGGGAGCAAACAGG
rnacentral:rRNA from 1 species